GCAUUUUAGUUUGCUUGCAAACUGAAGAUGGCGACCGGCGCACGGGUGAGUAACACGUAUCCAACCUGCCGAUAACUCCGGAAUAGCCUUUCGAAAGAAAGAUUAAUACCGGAUGGCAUACGAAUAUCGCAUGAUAUUUUUACUAAAGAAUUUCGGUUAUCGAUGGGGAUGCGUUCCAUUAGUUUGUUGGCGGGGUAACGGCCCACCAAGACUACGAUGGAUAGGGGUUCUGAGAGGAAGGUCCCCCACAUUGGAACUGAGACACGGUCCAAACUCCUACGGGAGGCAGCAGUGAGGAAUAUUGGUCAAUGGGCGAGAGCCUGAACCAGCCAAGUAGCGUGAAGGAUGAAGGCUCUAUGGGUCGUAAACUUCUUUUAUAUGGGAAUAAAGUUUUCCACGUGUGGAAUUUUGUAUGUACCAUAUGAAUAAGGAUCGGCUAACUCCGUGCCAGCAGCCGCGGUAAUACGGAGGAUCCGAGCGUUAUCCGGAUUUAUUGGGUUUAAAGGGAGCGUAGGUGGAUUGUUAAGUCAGUUGUGAAAGUUUGCGGCUCAACCGUAAAAUUGCAGUUGAAACUGGCAGUCUUGAGUACAGUAGAGGUGGGCGGAAUUCGUGGUGUAGCGGUGAAAUGCUUAGAUAUCACGAAGAACUCCGAUUGCGAAGGCGGCUCACUAGACU
rnacentral:rRNA from 1 species